rnacentral:misc_RNA from 1 species
CCUUUAUUGCGUUUGGAACAUCUGUCCUACGCACACUUGACAUUUCCCUCGGAAUAGAAAGGGAAGCUAUUAUGUUCUCUUGAUAAGCUAAAGAGGGAGUAAUCCUUAUUUAAACUUGAAUUAAUCAUGCUCUUUUUUUAUGAGAAAAAUAGGAUAGAACAAAGUGUGCGUGUGUGUAGAUAGAUAUAUAUUAAGAGGUUAAUCAUGCUCUGGUCAAAAGAUUGAUUCAUUUAGGCUAUUGAGUGGCCACACCAUCCCCACUGUUGGUUUGGGUAUUUGGAAGUCUGGUUCUAAAGCCAAAGAUUCAGUCAGGCUGGUUAAAGGCAUAGAGAUACAGUGGAGUCCAAGAAGACGUCAGACAUGCGCUCAAGGCAACCAUACAUUCAGGGAUUGAGAGGAAGGAUCUCUUGGUCACGCCCAAGCUAUUGUGCAGUGAUUUGUCUUCGGAUAGGGUUCGAAAAGCGUUGAACAAUAACCUAUGGGAACUACAACUUGAUUACCUUGAUCUUUAUUUGAAAUGGAAGGUGUUGGAGAGAAAUGGAGAAGCUUGCUUUUAUGGCUUUUGAAUAUUUUUUGGAGAUGCUUUGGAGAAGCUUAGUAAAUGUCGUAGAAUUUGCUGUCAUAAAGAAGAUGAUAUUGAUCAUUGCUCAAGUUUGGUAUGGUAUUCAACAUCCAAAGUAUCCCUUUAUUUUCACGCCACUCUUAAUUGCUUUCUGGACGAAUGAAAGAUGAUCAUUGAAGUAACGAAUUCUAUAGUCAUCCUCUACAAUUAUCCAAUCAGUAUCAAGCUCACUAACUCCAUUCUCAGUAAUGUAAAUGAUUGGAUCAUUAAACUUGUUCUUGGUGUAGAGCAAAAGAUCUAGAAUUCCUCUUGGAUACACAUAAAGCCAAUCUGAUCCUGUCUGCAAAUUCAUUUAUAGUAUGAGAAACCACAACCCAUGAAAUAUACAACUUGAAUCUACAUGCUGUAAUGUUUUAUAUGUGCAUUAAAUCAUACCGCAGGACCAAUGGGAAUCCCAUUUCGCUCGGCUGAUGCAUCAAAUUACUUUGUAUCAGAAAUGAACAAGGCAGAAAAUUUGUUAACAAUGGAAAGAAAAAUAAAAACGUGAAUGAAGGAGUUUCUUACCUGUAGACUGAGCACAAGAGUCAAUGGUGUAGCUUAAGUAUUCAGUUUUGCAAGGAACAUCAAAACCAUAUUUUGAAGUAUAAUAGUUUAGUCCAGUGAAAUCAAAAGAUCCUUUCACCAUUAACGAUUCCUCCUUAGAAAAUUUAGGCAAUCGUUUCCCCACAUGAGCAACCAUAUCAGCUGGAUACGUACCAGACUUCAGUGGUUCCAUAAACCUUCAAAAUUCAUACAUUUAGAAGAAGGGGAUUUAAUUUCGAUGCCAGUAAUCUAGUUCGAGCAUACUCCUGACUGUAAGUACUGAAAAAAGGAACGCAAAAUUUAUAUAUACCAAUCAUAUUGGAAAGAAAUGGCUCGGGAUGCUGCACUAAAGUCUCUACUUGAGUUAGUCAAGGGUAAAAUCCAUCGACAAUUUAGAGUAAUUCCGAUUUGACCCAUUUGAGACAUCUGGUACUUGUCCUUGUACAUUUGAACUGCAGCUGCAUGAGCAAGAAGUUGAUGAUGAGCUACUAUAUAUGGCUCAGUACUUGAAUCGCCACCAGUGCAGUUAUAAGGGAGCCAGUCGGAACAUCUCCCAGGUGCUUUUUUACCAGUUGCAUAAGCAUCAUCAGCAACAGUUAAUGGCUCAUUCAAAGUUAUCCAGUGCUUCACUCUAUCACCAAAUUCUUUGAAGCAAAAGUCCACAAAGUCAUAGAAAUCGUUCCUAAUUAAGAACAGCAACCAAUUCCCAGAAGUAAAUAGAUUAGAUUCUUUUUCCUUUUUUUUUUACAUAAGGUCAGGGAGACUAAGUGCCCUCUCCAGGCAAUUUUAAGGACAAAAAUAAUCCUAGAGUACUCCCCAGCUGAAUCCAGUUGGGUAUAGAUUAGGUAAUUUUAAAUGCUUAUUUUUUACUUACACAAUGUUGGGGCUUAAGAGUCCUUUAUACUCAUCUUCAAGUGCCUGUGGAUGAUCAAAAUGAAAUAGCAUGACAUGGGGCUGGAUGCCUGUAUCAUCAAGAAAUUAAAAACAAAAAAAAAAUGAAAUAAAUCAAUCAGUCAAAAUGAAACAAACUUAAAAACAUAGUUUAUUUUGAAGCUUUUAGCUGUGACCAUGGCUAAUAAGCUCAUUGAUGAGGAUGUUGUAAUAUAGUAAGCCCUUUGGGUUGAUAAUUUGAUAUAUCCUCUUCCAUCUAACAGAGAAAACAGAUAAAGAUUAAAGUAUGAUCAAACUUACCGUAAACUAAAUUGGUUAUAGAUUACUAGCUAGUUCAUUUGCUUUUCUGUAAGAAAAUCAUACUUGGGAUAAGUCUUGACCAUGAGAUAGAAAAUCUGUAUGCAUCCAACCCUGUUUUGACCAUGAGUUGGACAUCCUCCUUGUAUUUGUGAUACGCAUCAACUGCCACAUCUCCAGUGGCACCACCCAUAAGUCCCUCGUGAGCAAAGGUAUCCCAAACGCUUGGACUUCUUCCAUCCUCAUUUGCUGCUCCUUCGGCCUUACAGGUCCAAUAGUUUUGUAAGGGUAAAGAGUUAAUUCUAAUGAAUAAUUUGAAUCCAACAGACCUGCUAAGCAGAGGUUCCAGACCCAAAAAUAAAACCAGGAGGUAAGUCCUCCCUGCUAUAUUUAUCAGUGCAAAACACCAAUACUGCUAAAUUUAGCAAGCAAUAAAGCCUCAACCACAUCAUCAUCAUCAUUCACUAACCGAUCACAAGCUUGUUUCUUUAUCGGACAGACAGAGACAGAGAAUCCCAAAAGGUCUCCCUACCCAGUUUCUUGCGUUUUCCCCGUAUAAGCACACAAACACAGUAGAUUAGAGAGAGAUUGUGUGUUAUAUCCUGUAAGCGAUAGAAUAUCUGCAGGCUCAGCCACUCGACUUCUUAAGUCGUACACGUUAGCUAAACUCAAUACCCACCACUCAUUCACCAACUUAUAGCCGUACAAUUAGUUCAGUGGACCAAAAUAUUGUAGAAUUUUGAUAGCUGGCUUCUCACUCUCAAUUUUUUUCGUUCUUCGCACAUUCAUGCAACUCAAGUACUUCAUGGGAUCAGUGAUAUAAUUCAGUUAGCAGCUAGACUGGGACAGGUACAAAUUCUUUAUGCUAGGCGAGAUUGUAACAGAGUCGCCCGCAUGCUAGCGGCCAAAGUUCUUCACGAUGAAUCUUUUUUGUUCGAUCCUACGUCCCAAGAAAACAUUGUUUCGUCCUUUGCUGCCUGGAUGGCUAAUGAAGUUCUAUCUUUAGUUAAAAACAAGAAAAGAAGGAAUACAAUAUUAAUAUUCAAUACCGAUAUUUUAUUAAUAUUUUACACUUUUUACUUCUAUUUUUAUAAUAUUUAUAUUUUUUUUACUUAAUAAUAUUUUUUUUACGUUGUAACGAUUCUGAGAUGUGAAUGUUGUGUAUUUUAGUUAAUUUUAUUUUACUAAUUGAAAAUCUC